GGUGGAAACACCUUUUCUAGCAAUAGCCGUUUGCGAGGUGCUGCAUGGUUGUCGUCAGCUCGUGCCGUGAGGUGUCGGCUUAAGUGCCAUAACGAGCGCAACCCUUGCCACUAGUUACUAACAGGUGAUGCUGAGGACUCUGGUGGGACUGCCAGCGUAAGCUGCGAGGAAGGCGGGGAUGACGUCAAAUCAGCACGGCCCUUACAUCCGGGGCGACACACGUGUUACAAUGGCGUGGACAAAGGGAAGCCACCUGGCGACAGGGAGCGAAUCCCCAAACCACGUCUCAGUUCGGAUCGGAGUCUGCAACCCGACUCCGUGAAGCUGGAUUCGCUAGUAAUCGCGCAUCAGCCAUGGCGCGGUGAAUACGUUCCCGGGCCUUGUACACACCGCCCGUCAAGCCAUGGGAGCCGGGGGUACCUGAAGUCCGUAACCGCGAGGAUCGGCCUAGGGUAAAACUGGUGACUGGGGCUAAGUCGUAACAAGGUAGCCGUACCGGAAGGUGCGGCUGG
rnacentral:rRNA from 1 species